rnacentral:rRNA from 1 species
AGCAGCCGCGGUAAUUCCAGCUCCAAUAGCGUAUAUUAAAGUUGUUGCAGUUAAAAAGCUCGUAGUUGAAUUUCGGGAUCAAUACGUCGGUCGUGCUUCGGUACGUACUGGCGUAAUUGAUUUCUCCCUUCUGACGAACCAUGAUGUCAUUAACUUGGUGUCAUGGGAAAUCAGGACUGUUACUUUGAAAAAAUUAGAGUGUUUAAAGCAGGCUCGCGCUUGAAUACAUUAGCAUGGAAUAAUGAAAUAGGACGUUGAUCCUAUUUUGUUGGUUUCUAGGAUUGACGUAAUGAUUAAUAGGGAUAGUUGGGGGCAUUAGUAUUCAAUUGUCAGAGGUGAAAUUCUUGGAUUUAUUGAAGACUAACUACUGCGAAAGCAUUUGCCAAGGAUGUUUUCAUUAAUCAAGAACGAAAGUUAGGGGAUCGAAGACGAUCAGAUACCGUCGUAGUCUUAACCAUAAACUAUGCCGACUAGGGAUCGGAUGAUGUUAAUUUUUUUAAUG